GAUGAACGCUGGCGGCGUGCCUAAUACAUGCAAGUCGAGCGAAUGGAUUAAGAGCUUGCUCUUAUGAAGUUAGCGGCGGACGGGUGAGUAACACGUGGGCAACCUGCCCAUAAGACUGGGAUAACUCCGGGAAACCGGGGCUAAUACCGGAUAACAUUUUGAACCACAUGGUUCGAAAUUGAAAGGCGGCUUCGGCUGUCACUUAUGGAUGGACCCGCGUCGCAUUAGCUAGUUGGUGAGGUAACGGCUCACCAAGGCAACGAUGCGUAGCCGACCUGAGAGGGUGAUCGGCCACACUGGGACUGAGACACGGCCCAGACUCCUACGGGAGGCAGCAGUAGGGGAUCUUCCGCAAUGGACGAAAGUCUGACGGAGCAACGCCGCGUGAGUGAUGAAGGCUUUCGGGUCGUAAAACUCUGUUGUUAGGGAAGAACAAGUGCUAGUUGAGUAAGCUGGCACCUUGACGGUACCUAACCAGAAAGCCACGGCUAACUACGUGCCAGCCGCCGCAGUAA
rnacentral:rRNA from 1 species